GGGAAGGUAUGCAAGAGGCUUAAGCAUACAGACUGUAAAUCUGUCGGCCUUCGGGCCUUCGUAGGUUCGAAUCCUACUCUCCCCA
rnacentral:tRNA from 1 species